CCUACGGGUGGCAGCAGUAGGGAAUAUUGGGCAAUGGAGGCAACUCUGACCCAGCCAUGCCGCGUGCAGGAUGAAGGCGUCAGCGUUGUAAACUGCUUUUAUUGGUGAAGCGGUAGCCAAGGAAUAAGCACCGGCUAACUCCGUGCCAGCAGCCGCGGUAAUACGGAGGGUGCAAGCGUUGUCCGGAUUUAUUGGGUUUAAAGGGUGCGUAGGUGGUUUUUUAAGUCUGGUUUGAAAGCAGGUGGCUUAACCAUCUGAUGUGGCUGGAAACUGAAGAACUUGAAUUGGUUGGCGGUAGCCGGAACGGGUCAUGUAGCGGUGAAAUGCAUAGAUAUGACCCAGAACACCGAUUGCGAAGGCAGGCUACUACGACGAUUGACACUGAGGCACGAGAGCAUGGGUAGCGAACAGGAUUAGAUACCCUUGUAGUC
rnacentral:rRNA from 1 species